UUUAAAGCAGUUACUUUAAAAAAAAAUUUUUUUUUAAUUGAGGCCGUGGAGGAGGGAAUUGGAGUCAGCCCCUCUGGCUGUGGGCUGUCGUCUCGGUUUCUGCCCAGGCUCUCAGGAUUCCUCCUGGUGAAGGAGGGACUUGAUCCACCACCGGGCCGACGGAUAACUCGACCCCGCCCAGUCACGGAAGGUCGUGCGCGCCUGGCCACUCCCACCCAGGUCUUUCCCGCAGGAGGCUGAGCUGCGCUGCCGCUCGAGGAUCCGUCGCGAGGUGGCUCGGGACCGCCGGCACCUCCGAGAACCAGGCCGAGAGUCGCGCGUCGCAGCCGUUGUGGGCCGGGUCCGGACCGGCAGCCGAGGCCCGUUGGCUUCAGAGGGGACCCCGCAAAGAAGGCUUUCCUCUGCCCCUGAGGGACGCCCCCAGAAGCCAGACGGAACGACCGCACGCCCUUCUAGCCCCCUUUCCUCGCCAACCCCCGGGACGCUCCCGAAGGGCCCGUCUAGGGCUCUGGUCCCGGCCACUCGCUGAAGGAGCCGCCGCCGGUGGAUUAGGGAUUUCACACUUCAUGGACAGGCGGAGGGGGCGCCGGGCGAGGGGUCUGCCUAGAGCCUGGUGAGGGGCGGCCGAGCCCCGGGUCAGGCGCUGCGGAGGGACCAGCCAAGGGCUGCGGAGGGACCUGAUAGGGACGAUCGAGAGCUCGGUGAGGAGCGGCCAACAGCCCAAGGAGCGCGCCCUCGGGGCGGACAGCGUGGCGGUCCUCUGCGAGGCGAUGCCCCGGCGGCUGCGGGCCGCUGGCCGCCCGAGGCCCUGGGCAUGGACCUGGCGCCCCAGUCCUAGGGACCCUGGAACUCUGCCUCUCUGCUCGGACUCGCCGACGGCGUAAGGGGCUCGGAAGUGGUGUGCGGGCUCAUCUUCAGGCUGCUGUUCCCGCUCUGCCUGGCAGAAGUUCCUGCAACAAAAGCGCUGGAUGCUGGGGCUAUGGAGGAUCCAGACCCGGUCCUGCCCUCCAGACGCCCGCCCUAACAGACCUUUGAAGGCCUUAAAAGAAAAAAGAAAACCGAAGAUGGG